GUUCGAGAACCGAGGUACCACUGUAUACCGAUUGGUAAAAAUAAAGGUAAUGGUCGAUCCUAAGUUAGCCUCGAAUCGACACUUAGCCCUAUAGUGAUAUCACUGCGUAGCCUCAAACUUAAUAUGGUAGUGUUUCCUUUCCUUAAAACACUUAAAAGGCAUAAUUUACAAAACGCGCUCAUUUAAUAGGUCAUUUAGUAUAUUAUUUGUACGGUUUGAAACUACAGUUCGUGCCACUUAUACGCCUAGACAGUGAAAUGUUAAGGUUUAUUAUAGUCUAACAGCCAUUAUACACUUCUAUUAGAAAAAUGAAUUUGAAUUUGAAUUUAAGUAGAGAUAAACAAAUUCAUAAAAUUCAUGAUAAAAGUUAACAAAAUAUUCCUGACACAAAGUGUUACUGUUACAAACAUUUCAGUUUAACUCAUAAAACCAUUGUGUAAAAACACCAAUAUUCUGUGUCUUUGCAAAACCUCUUAACUUAUUUGUGUCAUUAUACAUCAAAUAACUCGCAUUGUGGCACAUUCAGUAUAGUCUUGGCAUGUCCGAUCGGCAACCGUUUGUUAAAGAAAGAAUGUUAUUCAUUAUUUAUUGAGAUAGUGUUAUGAGUUACUGUACGUUGCUUAAUAUGAUUAUGUUGUCUUGAUUUUUAAGGUGCUUUGUUUGUCAAGUGACUAUUGAUAAUGUGUUCUUUUUAGGCCUACUGCCCCAAAUCAUCCGACCUUCAACAAAGAUGUCAUACUAUUACCUGAGUCUGCAUGGGACAGUGUUUGCAAACACAAAACACAAAGAAAACUUCAUGAAAGAGGCUUUGUUCUAAAUGCUUUUGAAAUAAGAAAGGCAUGGGACUUCAGGACAGUCAUUGCAAAGACAAGAGAAGCAUUCAAGGAAAUAAUUCAUGAGGAUGUCAGUAUUGAAAUUUUGAUGCCUUGUGGAAACAAACUGGUUUCCCCAAAGUUGUGUGAGGGUCAGGAACUGUACAUUAGGCCGUCAAGUAAUCUUCCAUUUUCGUUUGACAGCACAGAUUCAGAGGAAAGUUGUGUGGAAGUUGACACUGCAUCAGCCUCUCCUGACGGAAUGAUUACAAGAGCCAGGGGAAUCCAAAUUGCCUCAAAACAGCAGAUUUCUCAUUAUUCAUACACAAGAAGGGACAGUGGGUAUCCUCACACUAACCAGACCUCUGAAACACAUCAGGCAGCCAGUGAUUUUGCACCCAGUGCUACCCAAAUCUGUGCAGCACAGCCAGCAUCCAGCAGUUUCACACCAACAGCUACCCAGAUCUCUGCAACACAACAAGCAUCCAAUGUCAUGAACCUGGCUAUUGAUGCCAGAGUGGACCAGACUCCAUCAACUAUGCUGCCUAUCUUUCAAUCAUGGGUUCCAUCUCAGACCUUUCUUCUGAUGAUGAAGAAUUAAAUCAAGCUAUUAUUGCCAGUCUUGAAAGUCACGAGACAUCUCCACAACCAAACACUUUAUCAGCACAGGAGGUGCUUCUCAAUCUUGCAUCCCAAAUUGAGAGUAAACAAAAAUGCAGAUUCAACAUUAAUAGGUCUUCAGUACUUGAUGGUGCUGUGCAGGGGUUCAGACGAGUGUCAUAUAAUCCCAAGUACCAGAUGUGCAUCAAGUUUUCAGAUGACUUGGGAAUGGAUGAAGAGGCUGUGGACCUUGGGGGCCCCAGGAGAGAAUUUUUACGGUUGCUCAUGGAAGCCUUGCCACUGUCACCAAUGUUUGAAGGAAGAAACAACAAAUUAAACUUGGCCUUGGACAGUUCAGCUUUAAGAGAAGAUCGUUAUGUUUUUGCGGGCCGGGCCAUUGCUGUGAGUCUUGUCCAUGGCGGUCCCCCACCAGGUUUCAUUGCACCAACACUGUACACUCAUCUAGUUGGAGGAAAUUCCACAGUAAAGCCUGUCUUAGAAGACAUUGCUGAUGCAGAUCUCUUUGAAAAACGUUGUCUGAUUGUAGGACUUUGGAUGGUCUUAUACAAACCAUUGACCCACUGAAAGAUUACCUGGCCAAUGCUGGGUGUCUAAGGCCAUUAAAAUCCAUUGAUGACCGAGGUUCAACUGGUUGAUAUCCUCAUGUUUCAAGUGAUUCACAGAGUCUGUGGAGCAUUUGAAAGGAGGGGCUGAAGACUCUUGGUAUUCUGGAUGCAAUCAGAAUGCAUCCAGACAGUUUUAGAUCCUUAAUGUGCCAUGAACCAUCCCCACUAACUGCUGACUUGAUGGAUCACCUUUUUGAAAUCCGGCUGUCUCCAGUGGGAAGCAACAAGAGAAGUGCAGAGGAAUGUGUUGUCCCUUUUUGGAGGGAUUACCUGCAGGAUGUGGAAGGUUGGUCCUGGAAGCAAAAAUUUUGGCCCUGGGAACGUCCACGAGGAUUGUGAAUGUUAAAGGCAUCGACAGGGAAGUAAAGGACUUUCACAUCGGCAUGAGGAGGCCUGGACUUCUGUAAUUGAGUAGCCAUAAACUGAAGUUUUCAGUCGUUUUUAACGAAAACGACUUCAUUAUUGUAAUUAAGCAGCGUGAGGAGGCCUGGACUUCUGUAACUGAGUAGCCAUAAACUGAAAUGUUUACUUUUACACUGUUUUGUUUUGUUUGUUUACAUAUGAUAACUGUCAACAUUUUGUAGUCUUUUUUUUGUGUUCACAGUUCAAUAUAUGUAUCAUUGAUUUGUUUCGAACUGAAGUGUUUUUUUUUUUACUGCAUAUAUAAUGCUGUUUAUUGUUUGUAAAUGUGAUGCUUUAUAGUGUUUACGUGCUUGUGUUUGUAUUUGACAGUUUAUAAAACUAUCACUGACAUCCAUCCUCUAAAAUCCUAUAGAUUUACAGAGCUCUCGACAAGGGAGAGGGACAGAAAUAUUUUCCUCACAGGUAGUCCGUCUACCACUAUUGUAGAAAUCGAAGAUGUGGCAGUCGGUGAUUUCGGCGAAUUUGGUGAGGGCGAGAGGGUUUCAAAACUAUCAGGGACUGUGACGGCAGUCCAGAUAAUUUCCAAACGCCGCUGUCAGAAAUGUAAGGCCACACAAGAGUUGCAUGGGAAAGUGGCAGUCCACAGGUGUGUAGGAUGCAAAUUCAUGCAAAAAUCCACUUCCUACUUGCCAACAUAUUCGGGGACGUUGUGUCUGUCCUGCGAUGGCAAAGAUCACACACUGACCGUCAGUAAUUCCGCAAUUGGUGCAUAUUUCAAAGAGUACGAUUUGUGUGGUCUAACCAAUGACGUCGAGGACAUGGAGGAACAUUUUGUUACCGUGGGAGAGUUUUCAGUCGUUUUUAACGAAAACGACUUGAUUAUUGUAAUUAAGCAGCGUGAGGAGGCCUGGGCUUCUGUAACUGAGUAGCCAUAAACUGAAAUGUUUACUUUUCCACUGUUUUGUUUUGUUUGUUUACAUAUGAUAA